UCUCUCUCAAGUAAAUAAGUAAAAUCUUUUUUAAAAAAUGGCAGAUUGGGGCCAGAUUGCCUGGCUGCCAGCCCCUGACUCCUCCUAGCUGGUGACCUUGAAUUAGCCCUCUGCAUGCCUCAGUCUCUUUCUCUGUGCAGUGGAGAUCGUAGUUGUCCUUACCGGGUGGGGUUGCUUUGGGACCAGGUGGGUGUGUGCCCAAGUGCUGAGACCAUCCUGGGACAUAGUCAGUACUCUAGAAGUGUCAGCUGGGGCCCUUGUCAUUGAGGUUUGUGAUUGGGAUUCCAAGAGAUCUGCUCUAUCAGGGCCUGACGUGUAACAUAAACUAGAAAAAUAAUGUCUCCUGUCUGCUGGCUGCUCACAAGACUUGACCAGCUCUCCAGCCCUUUGAUGGGACUAUCUUUCUGGUCCCUGACGCCCCUCUGUUUCUGCUUCAGGCAGGUCCUGGGAUCCUUCCCUGGACUCCUGCAGCUUUCUGUGUCUCUGUGUCCCUCUCCCUGACCUUCUGUCUCAGGCUCUCAGCAUGUGUGUGACUCCCUCCUCUGCAGCUCUAUUUCUUGCUUCUCUAGAUCUCUCCUUGUGUCCAGCUCUCUCUCUCUCUCUCUGUCUACACAUCUCUGAGUGAGUGUUCCUUAGGUCUGGCUCUUCCUUUCUCUGUGUCUUUCCCUCCAAGGGUCAGUCUCUAUCUUGUAUGUUUUUCUGAUUCCUUCUCGCUGUUGCUCUGGGUCCUAGUUGACCCCUCCCUCCCGUCCCUUUUCCCCAGUCUCUCUCUGAUACUCUGUCUCUCUCUUUCUGUCCCAUGCCACUCUUUCCCUCUUUUGUUUUUUGUCACUCUGAGAUCACUUUCUUUGCUCCCUUCUUACUGACACAUGUCCUUUGCCCAGAUCCCUCUCCUUCUAGCUGGAGGGGGCUGAUUAUGUAAUUGUUUGUUAUGCAUAGCAGCUGACUGUGGGGGAUGAGGAAGAGGCCAGGAAGAACAUUUUCUUUCUUCUCACCCUUCUUAGUUCUCUUUUUUUCUCAGUCCACCAACCCAGCCUCACAGAUGCUCUCCCAGCUCAUUCUCCCUGGAUUGGGUGCAGAGAUCAGAUAACUGCUUCCCCCAGCCUAGAAACAGAAUAAACAGGUCAGAGGCUGCAGUCAUGGGGAGCUUCCUGAAGGAGGCAGGCAGGCACCGGGGCUCUCCCAGCUCCUAGGAAAAGUGCCAAGCUGUGCAAACAAGGUGGUAAUGGAAACUUUGGGGAACCAUCCAAUUCAGCUCUGUUAAAAGUCUGAGCACAGAAGGAAGGAUGGUGGAGGCUACCCCAGCCCACUGAUUUGGGGCUUCAGCAAGGGAGACAAUGCUUUGGGUUCUUAGCUCUUCCUGGAGACUCUUGGUCACCAUGGUGCUCCUGAAAAUUCGAACGUCCAUGACCUCGGACAUGUUCUCAGAGGACAAACGUGGAGGAUGCCUACAUUAGUGAAGGAGGAGUGCAGGGGUGAAGACACUGAGCGGCGAGCUCAGAGGAGACUACAAGUUACGUAAGCUCCAUAGCCAUGGCGAGCUCCCACAUGGGAUCCAACCCCCAGGGAUUUUAAUCCAAAGGUAUUCAGGUUACCAAAGAAGCUGAGUCUCUGUAGCCAGGGCCCAUGGCCAAGGACGGUUCCUUGUUCCUGGGGACCUGGAGAUCUGAGACGGCCUCACCCUCUUCCUGUUUACCGCGUGUCCAUCCUGGUGAGCUUUAUCGUCUGGAAGCAUGUGAACAAAACCAGCACGAUGCCCAAAGGAUUCACCUCUGCUGUGUCCGGGAACCUGUCUAGGACCCCACUUCCUAUCCCAGACCUUCCUAAGGAUGAGUGUGUCUGCCAAAUAUCAACUCUGUUGUUUGCUGAUUG